UGAACGCUGGCGGCAGCCUAACAAUGCAAGUCGAACGGUAACAUUUCUAGCUUGCUAGAAGAUGGCGAGUGGCGGACGGGUGAGUAAUGCUUGGGAACUUGCCUUUGCGAGGGGGAUAACAGUUGGAAACGACUGCUAAUACCGCAUAAUGUCUUCGGACCAAACGGGGCUUCGGCUCCGGCGCAAAGAGAGGCCCAAGUGAGAUUAGCUAGUUGGUAAGGUAACGGCUUACCAAGGCGACGAUCUCUAGCUGUCCUGAGAGGAAGAUCAGCCACACUGGGACUGAGACACGGCCCAGACUCCUACGGGAGGCAGCAGUGGGGAAUAUUGCACAAUGGGGGAAACCCUGAUGCAGCCAUGCCGCGUGUGUGAAGAAGGCCUUCGGGUUGUAAAGCACUUUCAGUUGUGAGGAAAAGUUAGUGGUUAAUACCUGCUAGCCGUGACGUUAACAACAGAAGAAGCACCGGCUAACUCCGUGCCAGCAGCCGCGGUAAUACGGAGGGUGCGAGCGUUAAUCGGAAUUACUGGGCGUAAAGCGCACGCAGGCGGUUUGUUAAGCUAGAUGUGAAAGCCCCGGGCUCAACCUGNGAUGGUCAUUUAGAACUGGCAGACU
rnacentral:rRNA from 1 species